CAUAAAUACAAAGUUUGGUAGGUUCAUUGAAAACACGUCAAUUUUUUUUAAGGGAGUCAUAUUUCAUUUUUGUGAAUCACCAUUCAAAAAGAAAUUCUACAUUCUGUGAAUCAAAAUAUAUUUUAAGUGAUUCUACAUUGAUAUUUGCAUUGCUCUCUACAUUCUUUGAAUCAUGAUAUCUCAAUAUCGUCCAGAUUUUCGUGUAAUAAUGAUGGAGAGUAAACUUCUUAGACUUCCAAAGAUAUAUGUGAAAAAAUAUUGGAAAGGAACCUCAAAUCCCAUAUUUUUUAGGCUUCCAAAUGGUGUUCAACACAAAAUAUUCUGGGAAGAACGUGAUGGUGAUGUUUGGUUUCAAAAAAAUUGGAAAGAUUUUGCAAAGUGUUUAAAAUAUGGAGAUAUCUUAACUUUUAAACAUACUGGUGGAGCAUAUUUCAAAGUAAAGAUAUUUGGUAGAAAUUCUUUAGAAAUAAAUUAUUCAAAUAUCAAAUGUUUAGAUGAAGUUGUUGAUUUAAGUGAUGAUGAGAGUGAAGAACGCACACAAACUCAAAAGAGAAAAAAUGGCAAAAGAAAAGUUGCAGAUUUGAAUCCAAGUAGAAACAAAGGUGUGAUUAAGAAGGCCAAGAAAUGUUCAAACAUAGGAAAUAUUGAUGAUGGGAGAGUUAAUAAGGAGAUUCCAUAUUUUGAAGUCACAUUGACACCAACUUAUGUCAAUUAUUAUAGUAUGAGGAUACCAAAUGUGUUUUCAAGAAAAUAUUUGAAAGAGACGGAAGAAAUUGCAAUCUUGAAAGUUGGGGAGGACAUGACUAUGGAAGUGGGGUUCAGGUUUGAUGCUAAUGCCAAAGGAAUGGUUUUUCAAAAUGGUUGGAAGAAUUUUUCACAAAAAUAUAAUUUACAAAUUGGUGAUAUUUGUAAAUUUGUGAUGACACAAUCCAAACCACUUUUAUUUUCCAUUGCUAUUACUCGAGCCAAAAUGGAAUCAAAACCUAAGAAGUUCCAAGGUGUCUCUUCGGGUGAUGAUACAAUUCCAAAAAGAAAAAGCAUUGGAGAAAGUUCUAGAGGUAGAGGUCGCCCAAAAAAACAUGUUUCCAAAGAUAUGGUGUGAAGGUCCAAAUUUGUUGGGAGUUCAAUGCAACAACCUUAACAAGAGAGUUGUAGCACAAGACUUGCACUAUCAAGAUCUAUGGAGUACAGCCAUCUGUAAGUAAUGUGCUCAGUGGUGGUAAAUCAGGAAUCAGUGAAAUGCGAUUGAUUUGUUGAUAUUGGUACGUAGAUAAAACUGUUGAAAUUGUUUCAUUUAGAGCAUAAUAUAAUUAUUUUCUUCACAUUGUCGAUCUAAAUCAACCAUGUCACUCUUUGCAAUGUGUAAUAAAUUGUCUUUCACUCUAGAAGAUUAUCAUAAGUAAAGUAUUUGAAUGUAACUACAUGUGUUGGUGUCAUCGAUUACAGGUGCAUAACUGUGGUUACAUAUGUUCACAUGAUUUGUUGUUUAAGCAUCCAUAUGUAAAAUACGGUUAAAAUUUUGUAGAACAAUGUUAUUUAGUACUCUCUUCUUAUGUCUUGAAUUUGUAGGAAUCGAUGAAAUGCGAUUGAUUU